rnacentral:rRNA from 1 species
UACGGGGGGGGCAAGCGUUGUUCGGAAUUACUGGGCGUAAAGGGCUCGUAGGUGGCCAACUAAGUCAGACGUGAAAUCCCUCAGCUUAACUGGGGAACUGCGUCUGAUACUGGAUGGCUUGAGUUUGGGAGAGGGAUGCGGAAUUCCAGGUGUAGCGGUGAAAUGCGUAGAUAUCUGGAGGAAUACCAGUGGCGAAGGCGGCUCACUGGCCCGGUACUGACGCUGAGGCGCGAAAGCGUGGGGAGCAAACAGG